GACCUCGGAUCAGGUAGGGAUACCCGCUGAACUUAAGCAUAUCAAUAAGCGGAGGAAAAGAAACCAACAGGGAUUGCCUCAGUAACGGCGAGUGAAGCGGCAAAAGCUCAAAUUUGAAAUCUGGCUCUUUCAGGGUCCGAGUUGUAAUUUGUAGAAGAUGCUUCGGGUGUGGUCCCGGUCUAAGUUCCUUGGAACAGGACGUCAUAGAGGGUGAGAAUCCCGUAUGUGACUGGGUACCUACGCUCAUGUGAAGCUCUUUCGACGAGUCGAGUUGUUUGGGAAUGCAGCUCAAAAUGGGUGGUAAAUUUCAUCUAAAGCUAAAUAUUGGCCAGAGACCGAUAGCGCACAAGUAGAGUGAUCGAAAGAUGAAAAGCACUUUGGAAAGAGAGUUAAACAGUACGUGAAAUUGUUGAAAGGGAAGCGCUUGCAAUCAG
rnacentral:rRNA from 1 species